rnacentral:snRNA from 1 species
UUGCCUUAAACUAAUGAGUAAGGAAAACAAAGCGAGCGGUGGGAGCCGGUUGCAGUGCCGAUGAUCUCCUCAUCGAAAGGUGGGGGGAGGGUGCGCAUGAAUUUAUGGAAGGGGAAUAGGCUGGCCGGGUGUUGACGCUGCUUACUUUCGCAGAACUCACUCGCGCGGGCCUCCCAC